rnacentral:rRNA from 1 species
AAUAAUUAGUCUUUUAAUUGAAGACUAGAAUGAAAGGUUGAACAAAAAGUUAACUGUCUCUAAGUUAGGUCUUGAAUUUAACAUUUAAGUGAAAAGGCUUAAAUAUUUUAGGGGGACGAUAAGACCCUAUAAAUCUUUAUAUUUGAUUUUAUAAAAUAAGGUACUAUUAUAUUUUUUAUUUAAUAAAUUUAAAUAUUUUGUUGGGGCGACAGAAGUAUAAAAGAUAACUGCUUUAAAAUAAUAGUUAACUGGUGUUUAGUUAUGUGAUCCUUUAAUAAAGAUGGUAGUUUAAGUUACUUUAGGGAUAACAGCGUAAUUUUUUUUGAGAGUUCA